rnacentral:tRNA from 1 species
GGAGAUAGCUCAAUUGGUAGAGCAUAUGCUUAGCAUGCAAGAGGUCCUGGGUUCAAUUCCCAGUACCUCUG